UACGUAGGUGGCAAGCGUUAUCCGGAAUUAUUGGGCGUAAAGAGUGAGCAGGCGGCAGGUUAAGUUUGAGGUUAAAGCGUGGGGCUCAACCCCAUAAAGCCUUGAAAACUGAUCAGCUAGAGUACGAGAGAUGUGAAGGGAACUCCAUGUGUAGCGGUGAAAUGCGUAGAUAUAUGGAAGAACACCAGUGGCGAAGGCGCUUCACAAGCUCGAAACUGACGCUCAGUCACGAAAGCGUGGGUAGCAAAUAGG
rnacentral:rRNA from 1 species